AUACAGUUGUUCAACCAGUUACUAAUCUAACUAAUUGUAACCUGUUGAACAACUGAACCC
rnacentral:pre_miRNA from 2 species